rnacentral:rRNA from 2 species
GUAGCUAAAUGCGGAAGAGAUAAGUGCUGAAAGCAUCUAAGCACGAAACUUGCCCCGAGAUGAGUUCUCCCUGAGACUUAGAGUCUCCUGAAGGAACGUUGAAGACGACGACGUUGAUAGGCCGGGUGUGUAAGCGCAGCGAUGCGUUGAGCUAACCGGUACUAAUGAACCGUGAGGCUUAACCUU